rnacentral:rRNA from 1 species
GUGCAGCAGGCGCGAAUCCUUCGCAAUGCGCGAAAGCGCGACGAGGGGACUCCGAGUGCCUAUGCUCAGCAUAGGCUGUUCACCGGUGUAAAAGCCGGUGGAGGAAGGGGUGGACAAGACUGGUGCCUGCCGCCGCGGUAAUACCAGCGCCCCAAGUGGUGAUCGAUAUUAUUGGGUCUAAAACGUCCGUAGCCGGCCCGGUAAAUCUCCGGGUAAAUCGUCCAGCUUAACUGGUCGAAUUCUGGGGAGACUGCCGGGCUUGGGACCGGGAGAGGUCGGAGGUACUCCAGGGGUAGGGGUGAAAUCCUGUAAUCCCUGGGGGACCACCGGUGGCGAAGGCGUCCGACUAGAACGGGUCCGACGGUAAGGGACGAAGGCUAGGGGAGCAAACGGGAUUAGAUACCCCCGUAGU